rnacentral:rRNA from 1 species
UACGGGGGGAGCGAACGUUGUUCGGAAUCACUGGGCGUAAAGGGCGUGUAGGCGGCUGAAUAAGUGGGAUGUUAAAUCCCCCGGCUCAACCGGGGACCUGCAUCUCAUACUGUUCAGCUCGAGCACAUCAGAGGAGACUGGAAUUCCCGGUGUAGCGGUGAAAUGCGUAGAUAUCGGGAGGAACAUCAGUGGCGAAGGCGGCCCUCUGGUCCAGUACUGACACUCAAGUGCGAAAGCGUGGGGAGCAAACAGG